GGGCAAUCUGCCCUGCAUUGUGGGACAAGCCCUGGAAACGCGGUCUAAUACCGGAUACUGAACCACUUGGGCAUCCUGGUGGUUCGAAAGCUCCGGCGGUGCAGGAUGAGCCCGCGGCCUAUCAGCUUGUUGGUGAGGUAACGGCUCACCAAGGCGACGACGGGUAGCCGGCCUGAGAGGGCGACCGGCCACACUGGGACUGAGACACGGCCCAGACUCCUACGGGAGGCAGCAGUGGGGAAUAUUGCACAAUGGGCGAAAGCCUGAUGCAGCGACGCCGCGUGAGGGAUGACGGCCUUCGGGUUGUAAACCUCUUUCAGCAGGGAAGAAGCGAGAGUGACGGUACCUGCAGAAGAAGCGCCGGCUAACUACGUGCCAGCAGCCGCGGUAAUACGUAGGGCGCGAGCGUUGUCCGGAAUUAUUGGGCGUAAAGAGCUCGUAGGCGGCUUGUCGCGUCGGUUGUGAAAGCCCGGGGCUUAACCCCGGGUCUGCAGUCGAUACGGGCAGGCUAGAGUUCGGUAGGGGAGAUCGGAAUUCCUGGUGUAGCGGUGAAAUGCGCAGAUAUCAGGAGGAACACCGGUGGCGAAGGCGGAUCUCUGGGCCGAUACUGACGCUGAGGAGCGAAAGCGUGGGGAGCGAACAGGAUUAGAUACCCUGGUAGUCCACGCCGUAAACGGUGGGCACUAGGUGUGGGCGACAUUCCACGUCGUCCGUGCCGCAGCUAAC
rnacentral:rRNA from 1 species